GCAUCAAUAGGGUAGUGGUAACCUGGGUCGUUGCCAUCAUGGCUUGUGCUCAUCGAGGUACUUACUUCCAGAGUAAUAUCUCGACCCGCUGGGGGUUCGAUUCCCUCUUGAUGCA
rnacentral:tRNA from 1 species